rnacentral:rRNA from 1 species
GAUGAACGCUGGCGGCGUGCUUAACACAUGCAAGUCGAACGAUGAAAGCGGGAGCUUGCUCCUGCUGGAUUAGUGGCGAACGGGUGAGUAACACGUGAGUAACCUGCCCUUGACUCUGGGAUAAGCGUUGGAAACGACGUCUAAUACCGGAUACGACCUUCGGAGGCAUCUCCUGGGGGUGGAAAGAAUUUCGGUCAAGGAUGGACUCGCGGCCUAUCAGCUAGUUGGUGAGGUAAUGGCUCACCGAGGCGACGACGGGUAGCCGGACGGAGAUGGUGACGCGCCCCCCUGGGACCGAGACACGGCCCACAGUCCUACGGGAGGCAGCAGUGGGGAAUAUUGCACAAUGGGCGCAAGCCUGAUGCAGCAACGCCGCGUGAGGGACGACGGCCGUCGGGUUGUAAACCUCUUUCAGUAGGGAAGAAGCGAAAGUGACGGUCCCUGCAGAAAAAGCACCGGCUAACUACGUGCCAGCCGCCGCCGUAACAC